UUCUAAACCGGAUUGCAGGGGAGAUCCUUUUUGCUGCCAUGAGCGGGGGAAGGAGGGCAAAAAAGAUCGCAUCGGAAAGCCGGAAGAAAC
rnacentral:sRNA from 1 species